UUUUGAAAUGUUCAAAAACAAACGCAGAGAUUUGAUUAUUUUUUUGUUUGUGUGACAACUUUAAUAUAUACUAACAAUACAUGAUACUACUAUCAACUAUCUAUAUAUAGACAUAUAUCAAUAUAAUGUUUCUUGUUAAUUAGGUUUCUUAAAGAGUAUUGUGUAGUUAGUUGUAAAACUUUUUUGUCAAAUCCUUUUAUAUGUGUUUUUUGUUUGAAUUGAAUUAGAACUGUGGGCACUUCCUAUUAUGAUACUACAAAUAUAUAUAAAUAUAUAUACAAAUUGUGUAAAUCCAAGCAAAUUGUAAUUGAAAUCUAUAAUUAUUAAUGCAUGCGUAUAUUGUAAUCCAGCUGUGCACUAAUUGUAAUAUUGAAAUCUAAUUAUAUAUAUAUAUAUAUAGAAUUCAAGCAGAUCUAUUUGGUAACGAAAGUCUAGCAUAUAAUUAUUGUGAUGUAGUUUUUAAAAAAUCGAUGCAAAACACAAAUUGAUGUCGAAAUUUUUGUCCUUGUCGUAAUUAGCCAGUAAAUAAGCAGAAAUAAA